rnacentral:misc_RNA from 1 species
AACGCAUAUUGCGCUCUCUGGUAUUCCGGAGAGCAUGCUUGUUUGAGUAUCAGUAAACACCUCAACUCCCUUUUCUUUUUUGAAAUUGGAGCUGGACUUGAGUGAUCCCAACGCUUUCUUCCAAGAAAGUGGCGGGUUGCUUGAAAUGCAGGUGCAGCUGAACUUUUUUCUGAGCUAUAAGCAUAUCUAUUUAGUCUGCCUAAAAAACAGAUUAUUACCUUUGCUGCAGCUAACAUAAAGGAGACUAGUUCUUGUGCUGACUGAUGCAGGAUUCACAGAGACAGCUUCGGCUGACUUUGUAAACUCGAUCUCAAAUCAAGUAAGACUACCCGCUGAACUUAA